GGUCAGCUGAAGAUACCUGUAUUAAAAAUGUGGGCGGAAUCAACAAUGGAGGAAAUGUUUUCAGAAAUGGUUGACAUGUUCAAGAAGCACCAAGAAACAAGCGAUCAGCUUCAGCAACAGAAUCUUGAAAUUCAAGCUGGCCAAAGAGAGAUAUUAAAUAUCCUGCAAAACCCACAACAUCAAAUGAGCUAUCAACUCACAGCUGAAGACGCUCCUGUGGAAGAUUCCAGUGCUUCAGGAUUAAAAAAUGUAACUGCUAAUCAGCUGGUGUACUUUAUUCAUGAGAAUAAAAAGGAGAUCUCACUGAUUGAUAAUCCUCGCAAGCUGCUACACCGGUUAAGAGUCAAAGACUUAAUCCCAGCAAACAAAUUUCAGGUUUUAAUGGAUAUAAGAGAUGCAACAGAGAAAAGUAGAGCUUUUUAUAAGUACUUAGAGUGGUUUGAAAAUGAAAUAAUAAAAAAGAGUCGUCGCUUCUUAGAAGUAAUAUUCAAAGAUGACAUCAUUCGGCGUUACCCAACAUUAAGACAACUUAAGGACAAACUUUUGAAAGGUGCAUGCCUGUCAGAGUCAAAUGGAGGAAUUACAGAAGACAUGCAGUUAUCAGAUAUCAGUGAAGUUGCAGAAACUGGAAUAAGAGAGAUAAAAGACUGUGACAGUGUUGGUGAAGGAACAAGCAAGGGUGGUGUGGCUCCUACCAAAGAAAAACGAACUCUUCCAUCCCGGAGUGUGAAAAGCUUCCCCAGUAAAAGUGCAGGUAAUUAUAGGAAAUAUAAGGGAGAUUCUUCUUCAGCAGUAAUUAAAAAAAUUUUAAUGAAACAAACACUUCCUGUUAUCUGUAAGAAAACAAAAGGAGAAUUCUACAGAAAUGACAUUACAAAAAAAGGUGUCCCUUCUAUACAUUCUAAGAGUGUGUUGCUCUUCCCUGGUGAAUUUGAACGUUUAUCAGGAAAUGAUAAAAAUGAAAAGUCAAGAAAUUGGAAGAAGAACAUAUAUAUUGAUAUGAAAAAGCUUAUGAAAGAUUCAGAUAUGUCUGGUCAUGACCUAACCAAACUUGGCAGGAUUACACUCAAUGACUUGUUUAUGCAAACAGAACAGAAACUUCCGAAUCAGAAAGUACGCCAGCCAGUCAUUAUGGAAUAUCGACAUUUAUUUAAGAAAUGAAGUUUGUGGAUGGAUGAAACUUUUGGAAUAACCUACGGCUUGAUUUAUUGUUAUUUCCCAUAAAUUACUGGAUGCAUAGUUUUAGACUUCAACAGAAAUGAACACUGCAACACAUGAUUAAGUUUAUAUAAUGUUUAUAUUUAUCAAUACUUUCCUGCAAUUUUUUUUUAUACAGUAGCACCCCUUGGUCUAUUAGGGCUCUGGUUAUUUUUCAAGUCACUACCUCAAGAGACCAUUGAGAGGAGAAGUCUAGACUUAAAAUGUUUUAAAAUAAUCAAAAUAAUUUAAAUUAGACAGAUAGAUUAUUUCAGUGGGAACCUCACCCCAUUCCAUUCUCUCUCUCUUUCCUUUUUGCUGGUCUUCCCUGAAUUGUUAAUUCAUUUUCCAUGCUUCCUCUUUAAGUUGAAGAGGUAGUGAUGAGACCUCAGUUUAUCUAUCAAUUAGUGAAUUCACUUUUACUGUUCAUAGCCCGGCUACUGAGGCGUUAACUGCUGAUACCCUUCUUACUCUCCUUUGUAGGAUGGCUUAUGUUUUAUAGGAGUAUAAAUUUAGAUGGCAUUUAUUUUCCCAACUAAAUGUUGUUUAACUAAUUUUAGAUUAAAGGCUUUCUUUUGAGGCUUUUUGAGGUUUGUUCCAAAACUGAUUUUGGUUUAACGUGUUAAGUACAGUAUUUGGUUUAGGAUGGAUGCUCCUUCUCUUUCUCCUUUUUAGCCUUUUUGCUUUGGGUUGGUAUUUUUUAGCAUGUUAGCAAAGAUUUAUUUCAGGAUUCUCAACCUCCAGUCCUGGAG